rnacentral:lncRNA from 1 species
UACUACUAAUACAUGAAAAAGAGAAAAUUGAUCUCAAUGUUUAAAUAUAGCUAAAAACAAAUAAUUAAACCAUAAAAUCACAUACCUAGCACAACACUGUGUAUCUUGUUUUGUACGUGAAGAGGGAGCUAACGCAAAAUCACCUCCACGUUUACUCGUCAUUGGAAACAUGAAAUCAAAAAUAAAAAUUGAAUGAAAAACCAUUUAGAAAAAUACAAUGAGAAAUUUAAUGAAGAUGAAAAGAAACAAGAUGAAUCGUAAAGAGGAGAAUAACAAGAUGGAAUAAAAUUAGGAUUAGGCUUCAAUCCGCAUGCAUUUGACUUUUCAAGGAUUUAUGUUUAUGAAAUCUUGUUCUUGAGCUCUCACAUGAUUAGGAAUUAGAAUAGCAAUGUCUCUUUGUAUUUUAUAAUUAAAUUAUGUAAUAAAAUAUGAAAUCUACUUUACAAAUUUAAAAUAAUAAUAAAAUAUAAUUAAUCGACAUAGAAUUUUUCACAUUAUCCGUUUUUUGACACAUCACAAAAAAAAUGAUAUUUCAUAAUAUUUAAAACGUAUGACAAAUAAAAUAAAAUACUAUUUUUACAAUUAAGUUACAAUUAAAUUAAAAUUUUAUAAAAAUUAAAAACAUUUAUAACCUAACAAGAAAUUAUUUUUUUGAACGUAAGAAAAUAUUAAAGCAUAGAAAUAAGACCAAAAGAAGAAAGUAGAGCAAGAUUUAAUGGCAACAAUACCUUUGGCCAAUUACUUAUAAUCAUCUUAUUAUGGAUGUUGAAACUAAACUCACUCUUCUUCAGUUGAAUUGAACGUAGAAUCAUUUCUGAUAGAAUCGUUAAAC